rnacentral:tRNA from 1 species
UCCGCCGUAGUGUAAUAGGCAGCACAGGAGAUUUUGGUUCUCUUAGUCCACGUUCGAGUCGUGGCGGCGGAGCCC